CAGAGAUCAUGCCCCUCAUCGGGUAGACCUCCCACCCUGUGUUAUUACGCUAGUUGCUUUGGCAGGCCGUCUUUUUUGGCGCUCGGCUCCGGCUGAGUCGCGCCUGCCAGAGGACCACAACGCUGUGUUUUAGUGUCGUCCGAGUACUUAUAAAUACGUUA
rnacentral:misc_RNA from 1 species